GAUGAAGAACGUAGCGAAAUGCGAUAAGUAAUGUGAAUUGCAGAAUUCAGUGAAUCAUCGAGUCUUUGAACGCACAUUGCGCCCCCUGGUAUUCCGGGGGGCAUGCCUGUCCGAGCGUCAUUGCUGCCCUCAAGCACGGCUUGUGUGUUGGGCCUCCGUCCUCCUCCCGGGGGACGGGCCCGAAAGGCAGCGGCGGCACCGCGUCCGGUCCUCGAGCGUAUGGGGCUUCGUCACCCGCUCUUGUAGGCCCGGCCGGCGCUUGCCGACACAUCAAUCUUUUUUCCAGGUUGACCUCGGAUCAGGUAGGGAUACCCGCUGAAUUUAAGCAUAUCAAUAAGCGGAGGA
rnacentral:misc_RNA from 1 species